rnacentral:tRNA from 1 species
GGUUGUGGCUUAGUGGCAGAGGACUCACCUAGCACGUGUGAGGCCCUGGGUUCGAUCCUCAGUACCA